GGUAAGAUGGCCGAGAGCAAGGCGGUGGAUUGUAGCCCCACAAACAGAGGUUAAAGUCCUCUUCUUCCCA
rnacentral:tRNA from 1 species